CUCUUUGGACUGUCCACAGCAGCUGACUAUGAUUUGCCUCAUGCUCUAGCAGAGGCAAGGUUUUGCCUGCUGUAGAUAGUUUCUACAAUUGUGUAAUGUUUGGAAUUCUAGGAAGUUUUCAGAGGGUAUAGAAAUGCUAGAGCUCCUUUAGGCGGGGAGGGUGGCUGUUGGUCAUUUAAUGAGGUUGGUUGAAGUUUGUUAGUAGCAUGGUCAAGAAGAAACAAAAAGAAACAAUUUAGAUGCAGAGAGUUUCCUAAUUUCUCUCUCUCCUCUCUCCGUGUUUCUCUCCUUUCUAGUGUUAGGGGUUGAAACAGGGAUUAAUGGGUGGGAAAAGAAGAACCCCCGAAGAAGGAAAGACAGGCUACGCUGAUCAGCAUCUGGAUUAAUGUGCCUUUAACUUACAUCUUCAGGCCUGGUUGGAUUUGUCAGGAUAUAAGGACAUUGAAAAUCAAUGAUUCCAGAACAAUCACGAGGACUUCUAGCACACCCAGACUGAUCUGCAGAAAAAUUGAAUCCAUUUCCUGGAAAAGAAGUCCCAUCCAAUGCAGCAAGAUCAGAGAAUAUGGGGUUGGAGAGAUGGCUCAGUCAUGAAGAGUACGUAUUGUUAUGGAAGAGGACCUGAUUUCAAUUCCCAGCACACAUGUUGGUGGCUCACAACUGGCUGUAACUCCAGUUCCACGGAAUCUACCACCCUUGAUUUACCUUCUCAGGGACCAAUGAGUGCACGUGUGGACAUGUGAGUGCAUACACACUUACACAUGCACCAAGCAUGCACAUGCCCUUAAAAUAAAUCUUUAAAAGAUUAAAAAAAAUGUGCUUUUAAAAUGCACAAAAA